CAAUAGCGUAUAUUAAAGUUGUUGCAGUUAAAAGCUCGUAGUUGGAUUUGUGGCGUACGGUGUGUUCCGGGCACUUGUUGUCUGAGUAACCUGCUGUUGCCAUCCUUGGGUGGAACCUGUGUGGCAUUAGGUUGUCGUGCAGGGGAUGCCCAUCAUUUACUGUGAAAAAAUUAGAGUGUUCAAAGCAGGCUUAUGCCGUUGAAUAUAUUAGCAUGGAAUAAUGAGAUAGGACUUUCUUGCUAUUUUGUUGGUUUGCGCAAAGAGGUAAUGAUUAAUAGGGACAGUUGGGGGUAUUCGUAUUCCAUUGUCAGAGGUGAAAUUCUUGGAUUUUUGGAAGACGAACUACUGCGAAAGCAUUUACCAAGGAUGUUUUCAUUAA
rnacentral:rRNA from 1 species